rnacentral:lncRNA from 1 species
UUUUUAUUUUUUCCCAUUGUAGUUGAUUCACAGUGUUCUGUCCAUUUCUACUGUAGAGCAAGAUGACCCAGUCACACGCAUAUAUACAUUCUUUUUCUCACCUUAUCCUCCCUCAUGUUCCAUCAUAAGUGACUAGAUACAGUUCUCUGUGCUAUGCAGCAGGAUCUCAUUGCUUAUCCAUUCCAAAGGCAAUCAUUUGCAUCUAUUAACCCCCAAUCCCCAGGCCAUCCCACUCCCUCCUCCUCCCCCCUUGGCAACCACAAGUGGGUUCUCCAAGCCCAUGAGUUUCUUUUCUGUGGAAAGGUUCAUUUGUGCCACAUAUUAGAUUCCAGAUAGAAGUGAUAUCAUAAGGUAUUUGUCUUUCUCUUUCUGACUCACAGAAAAGUAAUCAUUGUUAGGGAGUAUUUAUUGGUCAAGUACCAAAUUUUAUUUGCUUUGGCAGGUCUAAGCAUAGAGGAAAGGAGGCAGCCUACCCCCACCUGCUUCUCCUCCCUGCCCCAUCCCCACCAACCCCACCUGAUCCUGCAGAAAUGCCAAGUCUUCCCUGCCAUCCUCUCUAAAUCCUCGGAGAUUUUUCUUCGUGAGUAUUUCUGUACCCAUCAACCUUCAGGUCCAGCAUUUGAAAAGCACAGGGACUAGUGCUAAGAUGGAUUUCAUACAGGUAACUAUCUCCCAUUCCCAUGGUCUCAACACUUCUCUGAGUCAGAGAAUCCCUCUCUGCCCUCUUCUUGGGGACGUUUGCCCUGCCUUCUCAGUGACACCGUGCUCAGCCCAAGGAUCCUCAGCUCCAGACCUGCCGGGCAGGAUACUGUCCUCUGCCCAUUAACACGUGCAGUUCUUCAAAGAUCUUUAGAUUGGAUACGGCUGUCUUAGCCCUGGGUGUGUAUAGAUAAUAGAUGUCCCGUGCCGUUGCUGGAAGGUUCUGCUUAUCUAUUUAGAUGAGUCUCAAGUGCUUUUCCCAAGUGGAUCAAUCAUCCAUUAAAAGGCAGAACUAAGGCGUUUCCGUCGUGGCCCAGUGGAAACAAAUCCGACUAGGAACCAUGAGGUUUUGGAUUCGUUUCUGCUGCACCAUGACGGGAACUCCCACAACUCUGCUUUUAACUGCUGUAUGUCCUGGGGGUCCAAGAAAAAUUUUAGUUUGAAAAAAAAUUUUUUCCUAUUUCUAUAUAGAUAUAAAAUAUAUGUAUAUUUCACACAUAUACACAUCUAUAUAUGAUACACAUAUACAACUAUAUAUAUGAUUGCUACCAUCUGUUUUGUCAAUGAAACUCUAUGCACAAUUUCUUCUGUGCCCAUAAUCAACCUUGGGGUCUCACGGGUAGGUCAACUGGAAGAUGGUUUGUACACAUUCGAAGUUUUAGCAGCUGGUAUAUCAUAAAAGGAAGGCUAUUCGCACUGGGCACAUUCUGUCCACCGAGGAUGCAGACAGCCAGCCACACACAUCUUACUGCACAGAGAAACAAUAUACGAGGAUCUUGAAGACGUCUUAACCAUACGAGAACUGCAUUUUGAAGGGAAAAAAAAAGCCAUUUUAUGAAAU